UACGUAGGUGGCAAGCGUUGUCCGGAUUUACUGGGCGUAAAGAGCGCGCAGGCGGUCGUUCAAGUCGCGUGUGAAAGCCCCCGGCUCAACUGGGGAGGGUCACGCGAUACUGAUCGACUCGGAAGGCAGGAGAGGGUAGUGGAAUUCCCGGUGUAGUGGUGAAAUGCGUAGAUAUCGGGAGGAACACCAGUGGCGAAGGC
rnacentral:rRNA from 1 species